rnacentral:rRNA from 1 species
GGGGUAAACCUGCGAAACUCGAAUGAACGAACGGAGAGAUUCAUCGUCAUUCCGCGGCGUACGCGUGCGUGCGGGAUGUCUUCGGCCUCGGCCGUGGGCACCUCGCGUAUGCGUCGCGUCCGUGGACGGCGUGCACUUCUCUCUCAGUAACCAUGCAUCGCGACCCGUUCGAUGUCGGUCUAAGCGCCGUUCGGGAGCCCCGCCGUCCCUUCGCGGGGGCGACGGGACCGCGACGGACGCCGACCGGCCGUCGGACGGUAUAAAGAAUGAAACGCGCACGCGUUUAACGCGUCCGGCCCGACGCAAGUCGUCGUCGUAUCCGACGCUCCGCCCGAGUGCGGACGCCGGUGCGCCGCUUCUGCUGUCGCUGCCGUGCAGUCUCGGACCGUGCGCGUCUCCGUCUGCGAUGAUUCGGUUUCGGGCACUCGCAGGACCCGUCUUGAAACACGGACCAAGGAGUCUAGCAUGUAUGCGAGUCAUUGAGAUUUUACAAUAAACUGAAAGGCGCAACGAAAGUGAAGGCGUGCGCUCGUCGCGCGCUCAGGGAGGAUGGAGCCACGAUCUAGGUCGUACUCUCGCACUCCCGAGGCGUCUCGUUUCCAAUCCGUGAAUGCAGGCGCGCUC